rnacentral:sRNA from 1 species
GCGAAUCAGGUUUCGGAGGUAGGUCUCAUGUUUGUCGAUGAUGUGGUGCUCGCAGGGGUGGUCACGGUCGGCCUGAUGGUCGCCUUCCUCGGAGGCUUCGGAUAUUUCAUCUGGCGGGAUGCGCACAAGAAGUAAGCGAUUCCCGGCAGAUUCAAAGAGCACGCAAGGCAUUUAGGCGACCUAUGGUCGCCUUUUUUUU